CGUUUUCUUCUCCCUUGUGAGCUCCGCUCCCUUCCUAGCUCGGCAAGGUGAGGCGAUUUUCAGUUGAUUCAAGCAAAAGGAGUUCGCUGUGACCAAACCAGGGCAAAAUUUGAAGUAUGGGAGGCCUCGAAAAGUUAUUUGCACUUAAGCAGAAUGCUUUUAGGAGGGAUCUUGUUUCCUGUGUCGGCUACAUGCCUUUUCAUGAAGAUGUGAACCAGCAUCCAAGAGUUAUGAAGAUGAUAUGAAGUUUUUGCUAUAUCUUGAAGAAAGAAGCUAGGCCUUUUGCUGUGCAGUCUUUUGGGAGCAAGUUCUAGGUUAUCAGAUCAAGUUCUUUUGUCUUUUGUUUUACUCCUUGUUUAAUAUUGGUUUGUUAUUCUUUUUAAUACAACUUGUAAGGGAUAUUAACCUGUUAAAACUCUAAAUUAUCUUAUCUCAAUGUCC